GCCGUCGUCGACCAGUGGAAGGUCGUCCUCGCCAUGUAACGGGCGUCGGGCAUUCACUUAUUCCGAGGAAGGCGGCGGGUUCGAUUCCCCCCGACGGUA